AUUGAACGCUGGCGGCAGGCCUAACACAUGCAAGUCGAGCGGAUGAGAGGAGCUUGCUUCUCGAUUCAGCGGUGGACGGGUGAGUAAUGCCUAGGAAUCUGCCUGGUAGUGGGGGACAACGUUUCGAAAGGAACGCUAAUACCGCAUACGUCCUACGGGAGAAAGCAGGGGACCUUCGGGCCUUGCGCUAUCAGAUGAGCCUAGGUCGGAUUAGCUAGUUGGUGAGGUAAUGGCUCACCAAGGCGACGAUCCGUAACUGGUCUGAGAGGAUGAGAAGUCACACUGGAACUGAGACACGGUCCAGACUCCUACGGGAGGCAGCAGUGGGGAAUAUUGGACAAUGGGCGAAAGCCUGAUCCAGCCAUGCCGCGUGUGUGAAGAAGGUCUUCGGAUUGUAAAGCACUUUAAGUUGGGAGGAAGGGUUGUAGAUUAAUACUCUGCAAUUUUGACGUUACCGACAGAAUAAGCACCGGCUAACUCUGUGCCAGCCGCCGCGGUAAAAC
rnacentral:rRNA from 1 species